CCUACGGGGGGCACCAGUGGGGAAUCUUGGACAAUGGGCGAAAGCCCGAUCCAGCAAUAUCGCGUGAGUGAAGAGGGGCAAUGCCGCUUGUAAAGCUCUUUCGUCGAGUGCGCGAUCACGUCAGGACUCGAGGAAGAAGCCCCGGCUAACUCCGUGCCAGCAGCCGCGGUAAGACGGGGGGGGCAAGUGUUCUUCGGAAUGACUGGGCGUAAAGGGCGCGUAGGCGGUUUAUGCAGUCAGAUGUGAAAUCCCCGGGCUUAACCUGGGAACUGCAUUUGAGACGCAUAGACUAGAGGUCGAGAGAGGGUUGUGGAAUUCCCAGUGUAGAGGUGAAAUUCGUAGAUAUUGGGAAGAACACCGGUGGCGAAGGCGGCAACCUGGCUCGAUACUGACGCUGAGGCGCGAAAGCGUGGGGAGCAAACAGGAUUAGAUACCCGAGUAGUC
rnacentral:rRNA from 1 species